rnacentral:lncRNA from 1 species
GUCAUUGGCUUCGUGGUAAUCAAGUCAACAUUUACGGCAUGUAGAUGAAUUCAUGGACAGUCUGUGCCAAUGCCUUUGUGUUCUGUUUUCCAUUUCUAGAUUAAUUUUUAAAGGCAGGAUUGUCAAAUUCCCAAGGAGCUUGCAUAACUCAUCAGACAGAAGCAGAUUUUAAACUAUAUUGUUGAAAGAAGUGACAAGGACAUGAAUGAAGAGGAUGUUUUAAU